AUGGGGGAUAUUGUUACAAGGAAGGCUUUGGGUAACAAUAUUGUGGCGAAUGUAACCCCAUCUUUGAUGGGAUGGGUCAAUAAGGUUUUGUCAUUAUAACCAUAUAUGUUGUUUAUAAAUAUGAUUUAUUGAUUUCAUUAUACAUGUUUUCCAUUGUGUUGCUUCUUCGUCAUUUUAAUAAUAAAUGACAGUUUUCAAUUCUUAAAUAUUUGUUUGUUUGUCAUUCUUUCAUCCCAUCAAACAGAGCAAGCCUGUGUUGACAAAAAUGCUAAUUUUUAUUAAAAAUGAUUUUUUGGCAAACUAGGCGGUACUAUGGAAAGCGGCAUAACUCUUUGUUCUUAUUUGGUAGAAACGCAAAUACCAAGUUAUUCCUUCCCCUGAUCAUGUUAUAUGAUAGGCGCUUCAGAUUGAAAUAAACAAUUAAUUUCCCCAUAGGCGACAAUGGUAGCCGUUUUCGAGAUACAGACUUUAGAAAGUUGAUUUUCUUAACGAAACCUUGCUAGAAUCAAAGAAAAGUUAUUAGGACAGUAUUUUUUGGUCCAAAAAAUAUAGGUUCGCGUUGCUUUUCUUAGCGUAUUUUGUACUUAUCUCCCAUGCCUAUCAAUUUUGCCUUUAAAAUGAGGCCCCUCAUGGGGGGGGUCCUAGUAAUCACAUAAUCACCAUUUUUUUGCCAAUAUAAUCACAUAAUCAUUAAAUAUUUGCUUAUCUUUAGUAAUCAAAUAAUCAUAAACUAAAAAUACAGUCCUAGGUAAUCAAA
rnacentral:lncRNA from 1 species